UAGGGUUUGAUCCUGGCUCAGAAUGAACGCUGGCGGUAGGCUUAACACAUGCAAGUCGAACGGAAACGAUAAAGAGCUUGCUCUUUAGGCGUCGAGUGGCGGACGGGUGAGUAACGCGUGGGAAUCUACCCUAUAGUUGAGGACAACAUAUGGAAACGUAUGCUAAUACCGAAUAUGCUCUACGGAGUAAAGGAGCCCUCUUCUUGAAAGGUUUCGCUAUAGGAUGAGCCCGCGUUAGAUUGGCUAGUUGGUAAGGUAAAGGCUUACCAAGGCGACGAUCUAUAGCUGGUUUGAGAGGAUGAUCAGCCACACUGGGACUGAGACACGGCCCAGACUCCUACGGGAGGCAGCAGUGGGGAAUAUUGCACAAUGGACGAAAGUCUGAUGCAGCCAUACCGCGUGUGUGAAGAAGGCCCGAGGGUUGUAAAGCACUUUCAAUUGGGAGGAAGAUUAAGUAGUUAAUACCUACUUAGUUUGACGUUACCUUUAGAAGAAGCACCGGCUAACUCUGUGCCAGCAGCCGCGGU
rnacentral:rRNA from 1 species